UUCAACAAAUUAUUUUGAGAAAAAUAGGACAAAUGCAUGCAAAAGAUGAAACCGGACCAUUUCCUUACAUCAUACACACACACACACACACACACACACACACACCUCAAAAAAGAUCAAAGAGGCAAAUGUGAGAUCUGAAACUAUAAAACUCCUGGAAGAAAACAUAGGUAGUAAUUUCUUUGACAUUGGAAGUAGAAACGCUUUUCUAGCUAUGUCUCCUGAGGCAAGAGAAACAAAAGUAAAAUUAAACUACUGGGACCAUGCCAAAAUAAAAAGCUUUUGCACAGCAAAGGAAAAUAUCAACACAAAAGGGCAACCUAUGGAAUGGGAAAAAUGACAUAUCUGAUAAAGAGGUUAAAAUCCAAAAUAUAUAAAGGACUUAAGCAACUCAACAGAACCCCCCCCAAAAAAAUACAUGACUUUUUUAAAUUUAUUUUAUUUUUUAAAGAUAUUUAUUUAUUCAUGAUAGACAGAGAGAGAGAGAAGCAGAGACACAGGCAGAGGGGGAAGCAGGCUCCAGGCCGGGAGCCCGACGCGGGACUCGAUCCUGGGACUCCAGGAUCGCGCCCUGGGCCAAAGGCAGGCACCAAACCGCUGAGCCACCCAGGGAUCCCCUACAUGACUUUUUAAUAAAAAAAAAUUUAACAAGCAUUUGAUAAGUUGUAUUCAUGAUGGAAAAUAUCCUAACAAAUGAGGAAUAGAAAGAAGCAUCAUUGAUCUUAUAAAUUGUAGCUGUAUGUUGAAUCAUAUGAACUUGCCAUUUUUGUAUAUCUAAUCCCUAAAACAAAUAUCAUAUUUAUAGUAAAUUAUUUUAAAAUAAAACAAGAAAAGUUUGCCUAUUUUGACUGCUGCUAUUGAAUAUCGUAUCAGUGUCUAAGACAAGAAAAAGAAAUACAUUACAUAUGAAUUUUGGGAAGAGGUACAUAAGGCGGACCUACAAGCAGCAAGACUGAAAAUAGAACCAGAAUUCAUACAAAAAGUUUUAGAAUUAAUGCAGUUUUGUUGUAAACACACGCUCUCACACUUCCUUGUCGAACAUAGAUCCUGCGUAAUAGACACUCAAUAUGAGUUUGCUGGGUUGUUAUGUAGGGUCAUCUCCAAGAGGGCACUUGUGUCAUUACUGGGAAGGCAGCAUAUGGUCCAUGACUCAGGAUGGCUAACGUCCAAGUGGCCACGGAUGUAUCAAAUUCAGGCUAUCAGUCCUCCAUCUCCACCCUCUGAAAUGUGGGAAAUUUCAUGCUGCUGGUAUGAUGAGGGAUGUCAAGCAGUUGGGGACUAAAUGGUAUAUAAGCCGUUAUGGGGGAGAGCCUUCACUCUGCAAGCACCCACUUGCAAGGGUGCUUGUCUGUCCUCCCUGCAGGAUUAUGAAUUUUGAGGACAAGAUCUGUUCAUUUGGCUAUCCCCGGAAUCUGGUGAAGCCUUGGCUUUAUAAAAGGGAGUUGUUCAAAAAUAAAUAAAUAAAAGGGAGUUGCAAAUGUUUAUGAUUAUUGAACAGUUGUAAGUUAUUUAUCUUACUUCUGAAAUGGAAAUAUAAAAAUAAAUCCCUUUUAGGCAAUAGAUCCACAGGGCAAUUAACUGCAAAAGUUACCUAGCUCUAGAGCCCACAUCCCUUAUGGUGUUACCUACACAUGGUGUCUACACUGACCUGACAUUUGCAAACCGAGGCUGUGUACUAUCCCAUCCUAUAAUGUACUCAGUCUACAGUAGGGUGUCGGCUUCCAAGGCCACUUAAAGCUUCUAACACUGUAUGACCCGGUGGCCAUCUCUGAAUUAGAACAUACCCCCAUCGUCUUGAGAAAAUAUUCCACAGAGUAAAGGAAAUUUAUAAAUCUUAGAAAGAAAGAAACUUUAUAAAGUCCGUUCAAUACAGGACUUUAUACAAUUCAUUAAAUGUCUCUCUGUACAUUCACUAAGCCCAUUCACUAAGAUCUUUUAUGCAUUCAAACAAUUAAAUCAGGGACUCUACCUACAUCAAUGGUUAGAUUGUUGAAGCCAAUCAAAGGUUCAAAGAUACUACAAAAGGAAAGGAACUUCAAUUGUCCCUGAGGGAUCAAUUCAAACCUUGAAAUCUUCAUCUAAAAACCUUUCUUAAUGGGUUGCUGACUAAUAUAUGCUUAAAUUCUAAGGAGGACGAUAAUAGAAACAUAAUAGAGCUGUCUGGGUUACUUUUUUAAUGGCAGUACCCGUUGGUUAGUCUACAAUGAGCAGCAGAUAAUCCAAGUAGGAGGAAGAAUCUAACUUUAAAUCCAUAAGUACAAUUGAGCAUGUAGAAACAAAAGAAAAAUGGGUCAGCAGUAAAAACCUUUUUUCAUGAAUCACUUCUGGCUGGAUGCUUUGUCCAUAAUAGGGUAUGCAAUCACGUCAGUUUCCCAGAGUUACUGAGCUGUAUUUCAGGGUUCAUGAGUUUUUUCAUAAACUUUUAUUUAUUUAUUUAUUUAUUUUUUUAAACUUUUAAAUUGAUGAGUAAAGUACCGACAUAAAGGCGUACUGAUCGAUGCAUCUUCAGGUGAGUUUCGGAGAGAACACACCCAUGUGACCAACCACCUCCAAGAACCAUAGAUAGAAUCCGCUCUCCUGUCCCAGUAACUACUCACAGUCCCUCCCCAGGUAAUGCAGUCCUGACUUGUGAUAGGACUAGAUAGUAUAGAUUCAUUUGGCUGUUUUAGAUCUUGAGAAGCAGUGUAUUGCCCUCCGUGUCUGGCUUCUGUUUCUCACCACUUCCUUGGUGAUACACAUCCCUACCGUUGGUGGUAGUAGCAGUUUCUUAGGUACCUGUUCCUGGGUUUCUGCUGGGCAAUUUCUGGAUCACCAUAGCCGAAACACGCACUUUAGUAGGGUCAGCAGGCAGCGUUCCUCCUGGCUUUACCAACUCAUACUCCAAAUCCCUCAGGAAUGAAAAUUCCAGUUGUUCCAUGUGUUCUUCAACACUUGACAGCAGCACGUUUUCUGUUUCACCCAUUCCGGAGAGUACGCAGUGUUACCUGAUUGUGACUUCAAUUUGCAUUUCCCUGAUGAAAAACUAGUUUGAGUGCCUUUUUAUAUAUUUAUUAUCUAUUUGGAUAUUUGUUUUAUGAGAUACCUAUGCAAAGUACUUUGCCCCCUUUUUUCUAUUCUACAUAUUUGAAAAGCUCUAUAUGAACUCUGGAUAAAAGCCUUUUGUAACAUAAAUAAUGUAGGUAUCUUCUCCUACAGUCUGGCCCACCUUUUCACUCUGGUAAUGGUCUAUCUGAAAAACAUUUUAAUGUGGCCCAAUGUAUGAGGCUUUUGCUCUGUGUUUCAUGCCUUCGCACCUGUGUUCAUAAUCCAUGUUGCAUGCUAGAAGCUCUUUUAUUUUACUCUUCACAAUUUGAUCUACAAUCUUGGAAAUUAUUACUGCUUGUUCGGUAAAUUAAAGAUUAAGAUUAAUUUCUCCUUUUCAGCCUCUCUGUUUCUUGUAGUUCUUUCUUCAUUUAAAAAUUCUAUACUUCUUUUUCAGUUUCAUUGCCUCCUUUCUGAGAUUUUCUAAUCCUUUUUUUAUACUGAUUAUUCAUAUCUUACAUUUCCUUAAGUAUUUGAAAUAGGUUUUGAAAUAGGUUUUGAAAUAUGAGGUCAUAGUUUUCCUGUAUUUUACAAGCAUGUCUUUCUGAUAUUCUUUCUUUGAGUGUAAGGAUGUUAUCCUGUUCCUUGCAUUUGUCUCAUAAAAAAACAUUAUAUGGGAUUCAGCUAUCAUCCUUUGCUCUAACUCAUUUUUAUAUGAAACUGGUUUUCAUGGACUUUUAGAAGGGAGUUCAGGAGAACAUUUUUAGCUUCACAUCUACAGUUGUUUUUGUUGGUUUUGCUGCUGCUGCUGCUUUAGUGAAAGAGGUAAACACAUUGGUUUAGUGCUUUCUGCAGUCAACAAGCUCUGUCUCCUUCCACACUUUUAUCUGAACCUCUGAUUUCUUUGCCCAUUGUCCCUCAUAUGGCCUCUCUUCCCAGUAGGUUAUGUCCUCCGUGUGGAGCUCUAUCUCAGAAGGGAUCUUCAGCUGGGUAGUUUUACAGGUGGUGAGGCCUGGAUUGCUCAAGCCCUUAAAAUAUUACAGAAGAUGCCCUGAACUCUCUCAUGAAUUAAAACAGGCCACAGCCACCCCAGUUCCAACUGCUCUUCUCAAAUUGCCCCACUGGGUUUACCCGUGUUCACCAGUUGGCUGCUAUGGGUUCUGCUCUUAGGUCCAUCAGACACCCUCUUCCUUUCCUGUUUCACCCCAAACAAUGCACAGAGGACGUGGAACAGUUGAGGCUUUCUGUACCUGAACACAUCUUGUGAUGCUAAGGGAUGAUUUGUCAGUUAGUUCUGUGGUAUAUAUUGUCUUCCAUUUCUGGUUUCCUGUACAUUUAUACAAAUGGUUUCAGGGAUAUUCAAAACCUAAGCUUGUGCUGCUGUCACAUUUUCACAAAAUUUUUUCAUGAGACUCUUUUUUAAUUUCCUCAAAGUUUUGGAAUUUGCCACAUCCCAAGCGAGGUGGGAAAGAAGAUACUUUCUGUCUGCUGUGAGCCCUUCCCUCUUUAAAAUUUCUAGCCUACUUCCUCUCCACAGGGCCUAGGGAACCUAACUUGGAAAUUUACCAAUUAGAGAUUCUGGAGACUAUGUUUUGAAAAUUGAAAACUCAUUCCAGAGCAGGAUC
rnacentral:lncRNA from 1 species